GCAGUCGAACGAGUUCUCGUUGAUGAUCGGUGCUUGCACCGAGAUUCAACAUGGAACGAGUGGCGGACGGGUGAGUAACACGUGGGUAACCUGCCCUUAAGUGGGGGAUAACAUUUGGAAACAGAUGCUAAUACCGCAUAGAUCCAAGAACCGCAUGGUUCUUGGCUGAAAGAUGGCGUAAGCUAUCGCUUUUGGAUGGACCCGCGGCGUAUUAGCUAGUUGGUGAGGUAAUGGCUCACCAAGGCGAUGAUACGUAGCCGAACUGAGAGGUUGAUCGGCCACAUUGGGACUGAGACACGGCCCAAACUCCUACGGGAGGCAGCAGUAGGGAAUCUUCCACAAUGGACGCAAGUCUGAUGGAGCAACGCCGCGUGAGUGAAGAAGGCUUUCGGGUCGUAAAACUCUGUUGUUGGAGAAGAAUGGUCGGCAGAGUAACUGUUGUCGGCGUGACGGUAUCCAACCAGAAAGCCACGGCUAACUACGUGCCAGCAGCCGCGGUAAUACGUAGGUGGCAAGCGUUAUCCGGAUUUAUUGGGCGUAAAGCGAGCGCAGGCGGUUUUUUAAGUCUGAUGUGAAAGCCCUCGGCUUAACCGAGGAAGCGCAUCGGAAACUGGGAAACUUGAGUGCAGAAA
rnacentral:rRNA from 1 species